UACGUAGGGUGCAAGCGUUAAUCGGAAUUACUGGGCGUAAAGCGUGCGCAGGCGGUUAUGCAAGACAGGUGGGAAAUCCCCGGGCUCAACCUGGGAACUGCAUUUGUGACUGCAUGGCUAGAGUACGGUAGAGGGGGAUGGAAUUCCGCGUGUAGCAGUGAAAUGCGUAGAUAUGCGGAGGAACACCGAUGGCGAAGGCAAUCCCCUGGACCUGUACUGACGCUCAUGCACGAAAGCGUGGGGAGCAAACAGG
rnacentral:rRNA from 1 species